ACGCAAUAAUAUUCGUAAAAUUCAAUUAAUUAUGCCACGAUUGUGUUGUCAGGUAUGUGCAACGAUUUUUUCAACGUCUGUCGCUGGAAUGUUGCAUCAUUUGGUCGCUGUUCAUGAACACGAUGCCAGAUUGCAUAUUCUCUGCGAAGUGCCGGAAUGUAAUUCAACCUUCGCUAAGGUUAACUCUUACAAAAGUCAUCUUAGAAGAAAGCACGCCAAUGUUGACUUAAACUCACGUCAUCUAUGUUGCGUUGAAUCAGCGAGUAGCACUCACAACAAUUUUUGUCCUGAUGAGGAUGGCCUUGAACUCUUAAUUGAUGAAUUCAACAGGGAAAAUGAACUUGAUGACUCUGUUCAAGCAAUGGAACACAAAAAGGCUCAAUUUCUUCUAAAAACAAAAGAAAUCAAUCUGCUCACACAAAAAUGUGUGGAUAACAUUGUAGAAGAUUCCACUGAACUUGUCCAAGGAACAGUCAAAGCAAUUAAACACGGUUUGCAAAAUUGCUUAGAGAAAGCUGGAUUAAAUUAUAAUGAUGUGCCAGGUCUUGAUGAAUUAUUUGAUGAAGGACAUGCUAUCUCAAAUCCAUUCAAACAUAUUUCCACAAAGUAUAAACAGAAUGCUUAUUUUGAGGAGCAUUUUGGCUUAGUUCAACCCAGACGAAUUAAACUUGGACACAGAGUUGUGAAAAGACGUUCAAGGACUGUGUACAAAGAGGUUAUUAAAGAUGAUGAAAUCAUGUACAUACCACUGCUUAAAUCCUUGGAAAAAAUGCUCAAUGUAAAAGGAGUACUUGAACAGCUAAACCAUGGUCAUCUUCGCAACAUAAACAUGAUGAUGUGAUUGAGGAUGUUUGCGAUGGCCAGUAUUUCAAAACCCAUCCUCUGUUUUCCAAGGACUCAACUGCUUUACAAAUCAUGCUUUACUAUGAUGAGUUGGAAAUUGCAAAUGCCCUUGGUAGUAAAACUGGAAAGCAUAAGUUAGGAGUUGUUUACUACACAACUGGAAAUAUUGAUCCUCGAUAUCGAUCCCAGUGUGAUAACAUUCACCUACUCCUUAUGGCAACAGUUCCAAUUAUCAAAAAAUAUGGCAUUGACAUUCUCUUGGAGCCUUUCAUGAAUGACCUUGAAUACCUUGAACAAGAUGGUGGUCACCAGUUCAUUGUUAAAGGUGAACCUAUGUCAUUUUCUGGGACUAUUGUGUUGGUUUCUGGAGACAAUCUUGGAUCACAACUCAUGGGUGGAUUCAAAGAAGGUCCAGGUGCACAUUUGAAAUGCCGGCAAUGCAUGGGGACCACUGAACAAAUAAAGCAGAAGCAGACCAGGAACAUACACUUUAAAGUAUUUUCAUGUAGCAGAUGGCAUGCCAGGUGAUGCAAUGCAUGAUAUACUAGAAGGAGUACUUCAGUAUGUAUGUAAAGAAUUGCUGAAGGACUUCAUAUUUAAAGAAAAA